rnacentral:tRNA from 1 species
GGUAGCGUGGCUGAGCGGUCUAAGGUUCUGGAUUUAGGCUCCAGUCUCUGGGGGUGAGUCGGUUCGAAUCCCACCGCUGCCA